rnacentral:lncRNA from 1 species
GGGUACAAUAAACCCGCCACAACCUGAUCAUAACUUACAACACAACCAGCGUCUAGAAGGAGUUCAGCCUUUAGAAGAGCAGGAUCAGCAUCCUUCAGAAGAGCAGCCUGUAGAAGCUCAGCCUUUAGAAGAGCAGGAUCAGCAUCCUUCAGAAGAGCAACCUGUAGAAGCUCAGUCUUUAGAAGAGCAGGCUCAGCAUCCUUCAGAAGAGCAGCCUGUAGAAGAUCAGCCAGGAGUUAAUGAUGGGACUGACGAG